rnacentral:rRNA from 1 species
UACAGAGGGUGCUAGCGUUGUUCGGAAUCAUUGGGCGUAAAGGGCGUGUAGGCGGUUUGUUAGGUCAUGUGUGAAAUCCCCGUCGGCUCAACCGGGGAACGACGCAUGAAACUGGCAAGCUAGAGUACCAAAGAGGGGGUGGAAGUUCCGGUGUAGCGGUGAAAUGCGUAGAUAAUCGGGAGGAACGCCUGUGGCGAAGGCGGCCCCCGAUGG